rnacentral:lncRNA from 1 species
CCCUGGAAGAUCUCUACCCCCAUUCUGUCAGAGGACCCUCGAGACCCGUAGUCGAGAGGAUUUCCUGGACCGGAGGCUCCAGGAGAUGAACCGAUGGAUCGAAGAACUCCACCAUGCUCCCCCCGCUUAUGGUGAGGAUAUUUGCACUGACCCUCCCUUUUCUCAAAUGAUCAUGUAGGAACCGAUCCCGCCAAACUUCAA